AUUGAACGCUGGCGGCAUGCCUUACACAUGCAAGUCGAACGGCAGCACGGGGCAACCUGGUGGCGAGUGGCGAACGGGUGAGUAAUGCAUCGGAACGUACCUUUCAGUGGGGGAUAACGUAGCGAAAGUUACGCUAAUACCGCAUAUUCUGUGAGCAGGAAAGCAGGGGAUCGCAAGACCUUGCGCUGAUUGAGCGGCCGAUGUCAGAUUAGCUAGUUGGUGAGGUAAAGGCUCACCAAGGCGACGAUCUGUAGCGGGUCUGAGAGGAUGAUCCGCCACACUGGAACUGAGACACGGUCCAGACUCCUACGGGAGGCAGCAGUGGGGAAUUUUGGACAAUGGGGGCAACCCUGAUCCAGCCAUGCCGCGUGAGUGAAGAAGGCCUUCGGGUUGUAAAGCUCUUUCGGCCGGGAAGAAAUCGCACGGGCUAAUACCCUGUGGAUGACGGUACCGGAAUAAGAAGCACCGGCUAACUACGUGCCAGCAGCCGCCGUAAAAC
rnacentral:rRNA from 1 species